UACAGAGGUCCCGAGCGUUGUUCGGAUUCAUUGGGCGUAAAGGGUGCGUAGGUGGCGCUGUAAGUCGGGUGUGAAAUUUCGGAGCUUAACUCCGAAACUGCAUUCGAUACUGCGGUGCUUGAGGACUGGAGAGGAGACUGGAAUUCAUGGUGUAGCAGUGAAAUGCGUAGAGAUCAUGAGGAAGACCAGUGGCGAAGGCGGGUCUCUGGACAGUUCCUGACACUGAGGCACGAAGGCCAGGGGAGCGAACGGG
rnacentral:rRNA from 1 species